GCUAGGGGUGGUGGUACAUACCUGUAAUCCCAGCCACCAUGGAGGUGGAGGCUGGUGGAUUUCUUGAGCUCAGGAGUUCUGAGCUGCAGUGGGCUAAGCAGAUUUGGUGUCUGAAUUGAGUUCAGCAUAAAUAUGGUGAGUCCCUAGUCCAGAAAAGGAGCAGGUUAUAUCUCCCAUAUUGGUCAGUAGUGAGACUAUGAGUAGUCCCUGCUCUUUCAGCCUGGGUGCAAUAGGGAUACCCAAUCUUUA
rnacentral:SRP_RNA from 1 species